UACGUAGGGUGCGAGCGUUAAUCGGAAUUACUGGGCGUAAAGUGUGCGCAGGCGGCCGAGCAAGUCGAGUGUGAAAGCCCCGGGCUUAACUUGGGAAUUGCGCUCGAAACUACUUGGCUGGAGUGUGGCAGAGGGGGGUGGAAUUCCACGUGUAGCGGUGAAAUGCGUAGAGAUGUGGAGGAACACCAAUGGCGAAGGCAGCCCCCUGGGCCAACACUGACGCUCAUGCACGAAAGCGUGGGGAGCAAACAGG
rnacentral:rRNA from 1 species